rnacentral:rRNA from 1 species
UCAAGCGAAGAAGGGCGCAGGGCGAAUGCCUUGGCACUGGGAGCCGAAGAAAGACGUGAUAAGCUGCGAUAAGCUGCGGGGAGCUGCAAAUAAGCGUUGAUCCGCAGAUUUCUGAAUGAGGAAACUCACCUGGGUUCAUACCUGGGUACAAUGCACUGAACUUCAAAAUAGGUGCAUUGGGGGAACCGCCUGAACUGAAACAUCUAAGUAGGGCGAGGAAGAGACAUCAAACGAGAUUCCGUAAGUAGUGGCGAGCGAACGCGGAAGAGGGCAAACCGGAGGUAGAAAUACCUCCGGGGUACGGACUGCAGAAGGGACUUAAGUUGUUAGCCGAACGGCAUGGGAAGGCCGGUCAGAGAGUGUGAGAACCACGUAGGCGAAAACGGCGAGAGCCUGGCAGGAUCCAGAGUACGGCCGGACACGUGAAACCCGGUCGGAAUAUGGGGGGACCACCCUCCAACCCUAAAUACUACCCAGUGACCGAUAGCGUAUAGUACUGUGAAGGAAAGGUGAAAAGGACCCCGGGAGGGGAGUGAAAAAGAACCUGAAACCCUGUGCCUACAAGCACCUAGAGCACGUCAAAGUGUGAUAGGGUACUUUUUGUAGAACGGUCCGGCGAGCGAUUGUACGCAGCAAGGUUAAGGUCUUCAGGACUGGAGCCGAAGCGAAAGCAAGUUUGAAAAGGGCGUUGAGUUGCGUGCAAUGGGCCCGAAACCGGGUGACCUACCCAUGAUCAGGCUGAAGUGGAAGUAAAAUUCCAUGGAGGGCCGAACCGACCUCCGUUGAAAAGGCGGCGGAUGAAUUGUGGGUAGCGGAGAAAUUCCAAUCGAACCCGGAGAUAGCUGGUUCUCCCCGAAAUAGUUUUAGGACUAGCCUCAUUUUAGAUACCCGGAGGUAAAGCACUGAAUAGCCUAGCGGCCGAGAGGUUAGCGAAGCUUAUCAAACUCAGAAUGCCGGAGUAUUGGUGAAUGGGAGUCAGACAGUGUCAGAUAAAUGUCAUUGUCAAAAGGGAAACAGCCCAGAUCUACAGCUAAGGUCCCAAAGUCAGGUCAAGUGGAAAACGAUGUGAAGAUACGCAGACAACCAGGAUGUUGGCUCAGAAGCAGCCACUCAUUUAAAGAGUGCGUAAUAGCUCACUGGUCGAGCGUCUUUGCGCGGAGAAUUUAACGGGGCUAAACCUGACACCGAAGCUUAGGCAGCGUCGCAAGACGCUGGGUAGGGGAGCGUUGUAUACGCGGAGAAACAGUAGCGCAAGCGGCUGUGGAGUGUAUAGAAGUGAGAAUGCCGGAAUGAGUAGCGCGAAUGCAGUGAGAAUCUGCAUGGCCGAAAGCCUCAGGUUUUUGGAGGAAGGUUCGUCCGCUCCAAGUUAGUCGGGAGCUAAGGUGAGGCCGGAAGGCGUAGCCGAUGCACAGACGGUGGAGAUUCCGUCACCACCAAAAGAGUUAAGCAUGGGGACACAUCUGAAGUGUCGGAGCCGGGAGUUGGUUCCGGUAGAGAUCGAGGGAAAUAAGUACCGAAGUCCGGCAUGGAAGGUGGCGAGAAAAGCCAUGUGUAUUUCUGAGGUGCCCGUACCGCAAACCGACACAGGUAGGUAGGAAGAAGAUUCUAAGGCCAACGGGAGAAGGGUUGUUAAGGAACUCGGCAAAUUGACCCCGUAACUUCGGGAGAAGGGGUGCUGCAGAGAUGCAGCCGCAGGGAAACGGCCCAAGCAACUGUUUACCAAAAACACAGGUUUGUGCUAAAUCGAAAGAUGACGUAUACGAGCUGACGCCUGCCCGGUGCUGGAAGGUUAAGAGGAGAUGUGAGAGCAUUGAAUUGAAGCCCCAGUGAACGGCGGCCGUAACUAUAACGGUCCUAAGGUAGCGAAAUUCCUUGUCAGGUAAG